AAGGGAGUCCCAUUUCAGGUGUGGGGCUGGGCAUGGUCACUCCUGCUGGAUGUCUAGAAGAUGGAAACUAAGGACCUAGGAAAAUGCCAGAUACAGCCUUUCCACCCUCAUCCAGAGCAGGACAAACAGGCCAGGUGGUGUCAGGAGCCCAGGUCUCCAGCUGGAGGGAACGUCAACCCUGCAGUGGGAGCAGGGGCCCAUCGCACAUCCUAGGCACAGAUGCUAAUGUAGGCACUGCAGGUAAGCUGGGCUUGGUACCCUUCCCUGGCUUCAGAAAGAAGCCAACAAGGAGCGUUUUGCAGAAUGAAACCUCUUUUCCAUCCAGAAGCACUGCUGACUGUAGGUGGUUGCCGUUUGUGGCAGUGAGCAUUUUGUCCAUUCUGAGGUUGGAUUGGUUUCUUCUUUUGGCCUUGCCCUGCCCUACAGACCAUAAAGGAGAACAGCAAGAGGCCCCCAGCAAACAUCCACAGAUGGCCCUGGACAUCAGCCACAUUCUGAGAAACAUGUCAUGUUCUGGGAGGGCUAAGGCAUCAAGUUAGGCCUACGGGGCUGGAUGAUCCCAGGCAACGUGGGGCAAUCCAGAGCCAUGGGGGCUUUCCAUGGGAAUUGGGAGGUCCCAAGGCAGAGUCAGAGGUUCCACAGGAGGAGUCACAGAGUCACCAAGGGCUCUCCUGGCCCAGGGAGCAGUCAACACCAUGGACUGAACACCUGCUGGGCUCCAAGCCCUGGGCCAGGCUGCCCAUGUGGGGCCAGGAGGCAGCUCAGAGUGGGAGGCAGAGAAGUGUGCUCAGAGGGCACCUGUAUCUGGAUGUAAUGUGGUCCUGAGACUGGCUGGGAAGUGCUUCCAGGGUAUCAUAUGUGUUAUGCAGUUACUUCCUCUCCCCAGCCUUACCCUGUAGGAAUUCUAGUGACUAUGUUGCCACCAUCUUGGAGCUCCAUGCCCUCAUAGUGUAAUGGCACCAGCAGAUCUGCCUGUGCAUGGACUUCCUGUACUACCUCACUCCUGAGGGGAGAUGUUUCUGCAGGGCCUAUGACCUGGUGCACAACUUUAGACACCAUCAUCCUGGAGCAGCACUGCACCCUCACUAGCCAGAGUGUUGACAUCCUCAAGGCCAGGGCCACAUUCAAGACUUUGGACUUCAUUGAUGCACUUGUGCUGAGCAAGCUUAUCUGAUCUCCUGGGAUCUCUACUAGGAUGCUGGCAGCCCAGCCAGCUGGUCUGGCCCUGGACGUGCCUUCAGGUGCUGGUUAUGCUUUAUGACCUGUGUUGUGAUCCUGGUCAGAGUAAAACAUUCCAUGGGAACUCGGGCUGUGAGAAACAUCCUAACCACCUGACUGCAGAAACAUCCUUAUCACAUCCUGCUGGGCAAGGGCCCAACAGCCUGACUUCAGGAACAUCCUUAUCAUCUUCUACUGAGCAGCAAGCUAUACUGUCCAGAGCCCUCCCUCCCAGCCCCAUGAUUACCCCAGCCUGUAAGUGGCAGUGGGCGCUGACACUAAGCUGGUUUCCCCCUCCGCAGGGUUUUGCUAGUAAUAAACCUGUGUUGCUGUUGAA
ensembl:lncRNA CYP4F26P cytochrome P450 family 4 subfamily F member 26, pseudogene